rnacentral:rRNA from 1 species
CGAAUGGGCGAAAGCCUGACGCAGCAACGCCGCGUGAGUGAUGAAGGCCUUCGGGUCGUAAAGCUCUGUCAGAGGGGAAGAAACUCCUGCCGGUUAAUACCCGGUGGGCUUGACGGUACCCUCAAAGGAAGCACCGGCUAACUCCGUGCCAGCAGCCGCGGUAAUACGGAGGGUGCGAGCGUUGUUCGGAAUUAUUGGGCGUAAAGCGCGUGUAGGCGGCCGUUUAAGUCCGAUGUGAAAGCCCUGGGCUUAACCCGGGAAGUGCAUUGGAAACUGGACGGCUUGAGUACGGGAGAGGGAGGUGGAAUUCCGAGUGUAGGGGUGAAAUCCGUAGAUAUUCGGAGGAACACCGGUGGCGAAGGCGGCCUCCUGGACCGAUACUGACGCUGAGGCGCGAAAGCGUGGGGAGCAAACAGGAUUAGAUACCCUAGUAGUCCACGCCGUAAACGAUGGGCACUAGGUGUCGCGGGUAUUGACCCCUGCGGUGCCGAAGCUAACGCAUUAAGUGCCCCGCCUGGGGAGUACGGCCGCAAGGCUA